UUAAAAGACCUAAUACAAUAUACAUAUCUAAGGAGGAGACGGAUAUAUACACAGAAGAAGAAGCUGCGCAGCUUGGAGGCUCUUCACAAAAACACACACUCUAAUACACAAGGAAAAGGGCUUCAGCUGCAAUACAAACGACCCCACCCCCCGCGCAUCAUCUUCUCGAGACGACCCCCACCCCCGUCGUCCUGCAUCUUUUCUUCAAUUAGAAACUCAACAAAAAAAUACAGACCUCACCCAUCUUCUCCACCGCAAUCAACACAGACCCCACCCGCGGAAAGCUAACAGCCCCCCUCUUUGAUUUUUGAUUCUAUGGAGUUUUGAGGUUGAGCGAGGUUCCAUGUCGACGGCAGGUUUACUGAACUCAGUUUUGGUCGAAUUUUUUGCUCCGAAUGGAUGUAUUGGUUGGUCGAAAUCAGUGUAUUAAUCAAGUUCUAGAAAAGAAAAAUAUUUUUGCUCAGUUAAGGUCCGCUUCUACUCCUUCUCUGGUCAGCUUAUUCUCCUUAAUUGAUGUAUGGUAGUUGAAGAAAGUUAUUUUUUCUUAUAAAUGUUGUUAUUGUAUUCAAAUGCAUUCAAAUGCAUCUUACAUCAAGUCGAAGCCCCAAUUUUCUGUCUUAUGUCUGCAAUUCCUUUUGGGAGAGGAAACCUUUACCAUUAUCAGAUAAAUUAUACUAGUUUAGCUUCUUACAAUAAUUCGAGUCCUUCUUGGACUCAUUAUCGCUAUCCAGAUGUAUCAUAUACUUUGAUAUAUAUGGCAUCUCUUUUAUUGUUAUGUUUCCUUGGAAUCUCCAUGUUACUUGUAGUUUGUUGUGAUGGAUAGAACAUUUGACCAUAUUAUGAGUAUUUUGGGGUUUUAAUAUGGCUUAAUUCUUAACUAUUAGGACAGUCAAAUAUGUUGAGAAUUAUUGGUGUAAGCAAGAAAAAUCACUCAUAUAAGCUUGUUAAUUGUUCUGGUUUGCAUAUUGUCCUUUGUAAAUACCUUUGUAUUAGCGUUGUUAAGAAUCAACGGAGUAGAUAAAUAAUUGGAAACCGUUGUAUUAGAAGAAAAAGGGUUGAAGAGUAGACAAGAAACGAAGAGUAGAAGCAGAUCGCGAAGGUGAGGGUAAUGGGGAACAGGUGUGGCGUUGUAACACCUAAGUAGGAGAAGAAUAGGUGGUCUUGGUUAGAGUGAUGAGAUUUUUGGCUUUGUCAGCUAUGAAUCUCAACAUUCUAAAAUUGUGAUUUAGCUUUAUUAUCGAUGUUUUAGAGAAUAAUGGGCGUAAUGUUAAAAUGUGGUUGAAGUCUUAAUAUUUCGGUCUUGAAACAUAAGGAAUUUGGGAGCAAGUAACGGGUCAUGUUGGCUAGUAAUUUACUCCCCAAUAAUGUCUUGUUCCUAAAUUUGACAUCACAACAAUAUCAAAAGUUACGAAAAUAACAAGUGCGUAGUUGCUUUAGGCAUGAAUUUAUUAAUAAAAAGUAUCUUCAUAAACUAGGGUGUGUAUUUAUGUGACCCAAAUCCAUAUCUCAAUGGAAUUGAAAUAUGUCUAAAAUUGCGUGCGCAACAUAAUUCCUUACUUAAAAAUAUUCUGGUUCGCAGACUGCAAUUGGGCAGUCAAAGUUUUUCUCGAUUUGGGAUUUUAAAUCGGUGACUUGGGACACCAAAAAGCUAAAUCUAUCCCAAGUGGCGACUCUUGAAACAAAUAAUUAAUCACAUAUCGAAUAAUGUCAUUUUAAUUGAAAAAACUCCUGUACGCGUGUUGCCUUUCGGGGUAACCACGUGUAAGCGGUAAAAAAGAGGUGUGACAACAUUGUUGAUUCAUUCUUACUUGAAUCGUUGCUACAUGUUAUCUCUUUCAUUGUUGACUUAUCCUUAUUUGAAGUCCUAAUUACAUGUUAUCUCUCCCAUUUUGAUUUCUUCUUAUUGAUAUCGUGGUUACACAUUAUCUCUCUCAUUGUUGAAUUAUUGAUGUUGAGGUUGUGAAAGUCGUUAUCACAUUGAGACGAAGUUGUUAAUUAUUGAGAUAUCUUCCUUAUUGAGAAAUUUAUAUUCAUUGUUAUGUUGAUAUUCUUGUACACAUUAUGAUUGAAUCAUAUGCCAUUGCUGUGAAAAUAUUGAUAUUGUUAAUUACUGAAAAGUUGUGGCAUAUGGGCACUUGUGGUGCGAGUUGUUACUGGGACAUGCUAUCGAUGUGCAUGCGGUGGUACAAGGAUAGGGGUUAAUGUGCAUGGAGCGACAUAAGGUGGUAUUUAUGUACGUGUUGCUAGUAAAGGAAUCACUUGAAGCCACGCAGCGUCAUAAGAUGGGCUAAAGUGCGUGUAGAUAUUUUGGAAAAAAUAUUUGCUAAACUAUUUGAAUGUAAGGCUCUCGCGGCGGUAUAAUGAGUGAUUGUGAUUGAAAUUGAGAAAUGUGAAUAUGAGGCGGUACUUUGGGUGUGAUUCUUGUAGUAUACGAGGAGGUACCUCAGUUUUAAUUCUUGUUGUCUACAAGGUGGUACCUCAGUUGUAAUUCUUGUUAUAUACGAGGUGGUGUGAUUCUUGUUGUGCAUCUCAUAUUUAAAAGAGUUAUCGGUGAAACAACACUUCUUUUUGUGUUAUUCUUCCUUGUCUUAGCAGUUUUAGUCCGUAUUUGACUAUUGUGGUUCUCAUUAAUUGCUUUCUUUAUGUUAUCUCUAUGUUUAAAAAUUUUCAAUUAGUCUAUAUUAUUAAGUUAUUUCAUAUCAUUCAUUCAGCGCUUUACAUUACUUCUCAUUAUAAUAUUUUUUCAUUCUAUUUUAUUAUGUCCUAGUAAGUACCUUGACCUAGCCUCGUCACUACUCUAACGAUGUUAGACUUGAUACUUACUAGAUACCAUAUUGGUGUACUCAUACUAUGCUUUUAUGCAUAUUUUUGUGCAGAUCCAGAUACAUCUGCUCGUGCUGGAUGUUAGUGUUUAAUCUUAGCUGUUAUCCGGAGACUUCAAAGUAUACUUGCUCGGCUUUCGCAUGACUCAGAGACACCUUCCCCUGUCUAUUUUUCUGUUGUAUUUCCAUUUAGAAAGUGUAGUAGUAGACAUUCUAGUUUGUUCUGUAGAGCUUUUAACUCAGUUCUAAC
rnacentral:lncRNA from 1 species